CGAUUGCAGGAUUUUGUGUUAAGUUACUGAAAUAUCUUUAGCAUACUUCACUGUCCAUGUAACGACGGAAAGCUCACCUAGACCAACAGAAUGCCAAAAUUAGACGCAAAACAACAGGCAGAUGUAAAAGAAAAGUUCGGCCUUGUAGACGAGGAUAAGACCGGGUCGCUGAACAUCGACGAACUGAAACUAUUACUGGCCCUACUAAAUAUUAAUAAAACCGAUAAGGAUAUGGCUGCUUUCAUGGAUCGUGCCGACAGCGGAA